rnacentral:tRNA from 2 species
GCCGAGGUGGUGAAAUUGGUAGACACGCAUGAUUCAGGUUCAUGUGGGGAGACCCGUGGAGGUUCAAGUCCUCUCCUCGGCA